rnacentral:lncRNA from 1 species
AGUUGGCUGGGAAAAUCUGCUCUCAAAACAGCCCAAAGCAUCCCGGCCGAAAGAUGGAGCAGCCCGUUCCACUGCUCUGGAGAGUCUAGGCCAACAAGUGAGAUGACAACAGCAGGAAAGAGACCGUGGAGCAGAGAUGUCUCCUCCUGUGAGCUUUUGCAGGAACCACUUCCCCCACCACUGGCCUCAUGUGAUAGGAAAAGAAAUUGGUGUCCUUCCCAGGCCAGCUGGAUCAAACGGUUCCUCAAUUCAAAACUUCAGUUUUCCCUUCAACGUCUACCACCUCCCCACAAAACCCACUCUGGAGAAAGUACACACAAAGCAGAGUUCAACCCGUCCCUUCAUAUGUACGAACAGCCCUUGCAACCACCACACUGAGACCGGAAGCGCACGACGUGGAUACAUGCGCACACCCCACCAAGCCUGAACUUCUUGGAACACAACUGUGGCCAUUGGAAUAGUCUCAGUAUUCUCUCUGGUGUAUGCUUUUAUAAAGUGAUUUAUAAGCCAAGCCCAGUGGCGCUCAACAGCAGUCCCAGCACUCAGGAGGCUGUGGCAGGAGAACCAGGAGUUGGAAGCUAGCCUGGGCUAAAUAGUGAGAGAGAUAAAGGCAUCAAUGGACAGGCUAACAGGGAAGGGGUAAAUUUCAAGGGUUGCAACCCUAUGCCAAGAACCAUGGACAGCUGUGAAAUGCAGAGAGCAGGAGAAAUAGUCUUGCAAUACAAGUGGUCAACCCCGAGAUCGCAUACAUGUGGGUAACAUAAUAUUCACUGAGCACGUGUAUAUGUGUAACAAAAAGUAAGAAAAGAAAGAGAGGCCAUGAUCCUGACUGAGAAUAAGGGAGUGUCUGGGAAGGGUUAGAGGGGUAAAGGGAAGCAGGAUAUUAUGUAAUUAUAUUAUAAAUUUCAAAAACUAAAAUUACUAAAAUUGCAGAAGGAACAGAGGGGAAAAUUAGUGAAUGAAUGAAUGAAUGAAUGAAUGAAUGAAUGAACGAACUGUGCAGGGAUAUUCAAAUCUUAGAAAUCAAUCAAGGGUAGAUCAGUAGCAGUAAAGGGGGAGGGGUCCAUAUUUCUCUGCCUUAAGAAAUCUCCCUUCCCCUGGACACACG